rnacentral:rRNA from 1 species
UACGUAGGGUGCUAGCGUUGUCCGGAUUUAUUGGGCUUAAAGGGUGCGUAGGUGGGAUGAUAAGUCAGAGGUGAAAGCUAGCAGCUUAACUGUUAAAUUGCCUUUGAUACUGUUAUUCUUGAGUAUAGUUGGCGUUGGCGGAAUGUGACAUGUAGCGGUGAAAUGCGUAGAUAUGUCACAGAACACCGAUCGCGAAGGCAGCUAACGAAACUAUCACUGACACUGAUGCACGAAAGCGUGGGGAGCAAACAGG